rnacentral:rRNA from 1 species
CGGGCAGACUAGAGUGCGGUAGGGGAGACUGGAAUUCCUGGUGUAGCGGUGGAAUGCGCAGAUAUCAGGAGGAACACCGAUGGCGAAGGCAGGUCUCUGGGCCGCAACUGACGCUGAGGAGCGAAAGCAUGGGGAGCGAACAGGAUUAGAUACCCUGGUAGUCCAUGCCGUAAACGUUGGGCACUAGGUGUGGGGCUCAUUCCACGAGUUCCGUGCCGCAGCAAACGCAUUAAGUGCCCCGCCUGGGGAGUACGGCCGCAAGGCUAAAACUCAAAGGAAUUGACGGGGGCCCGCACAAGCGGCGGAGCAUGCGGAUUAAUUCGAUGCAACGCGAAGAACCUUACCAAGGCUUGACAUGCACGAGAAGCCACCAGAGAUGGUGGUCUCUUUGGACACUCGUGCACAGGUGGUGCAUGGUUGUCGUCAGCUCGUGUCGUGAGAUGUUGGGUUAAGUCCCGCAACGAGCGCAACCCUCGUCCCAUGUUGCCAGCGGGUUAUGCCGGGGACUCAUGGGAGACUGCCGGGGUCAACUCGGAGGAAGGUGGGGAUGACGUCAAAUCAUCAUGCCCCUUAUGUCUUGGGCUUCACGCAUGCUACAAUGGCCGGUACAAAGGGCUGCGAUACCGUAAGGUGGAGCGAAUCCCAAAAAGCCGGUCUCAGUUCGGAUUGGGGUCUGCAACUCGACCCCAUGAAGUCGGAGUCGCUAGUAAUCGCAGAUCAGCAACGCUGC